CACAAGCAGCGAGCAUGUGGUUUAAUUCGAAGCAACGCGAAGAACCUUACCAGGGCUUGACAUGCCGCUGACCGGUGCAGAGAUGCAUCUUUAUCCUUCGGGGUACAGCGGACACAGGUGGUGCAUGGUUGUCGUCAGCUCGUGUCGUGAGAUGUUGGGUUAAGUCCCGCAACGAGCGCAACCCUUGUCUUUAGUUGCCAUCAUUAAGUUGGGCACUCUAAAGAGACUGCCGAUGACAAAUCGGAGGAAGGUGGGGAUGACGUCAAAUCAUCAUGCCCUUUAUGUCCUGGGCUACACACGUACUACAAUGGCCGUUACAACGGGAAGCGAAGGAGCAAUCCGGAGCAAAUCCCUUAAAGGCGGUCCCAGUUCAGAUUGUGGGCUGAAACUCGCCCACAUGAAGGCGGAAUUGCUAGUAAUUGCAGAUCAGCAUGCUGCAGUGAAUACGUUCCCGGGCCUU
rnacentral:rRNA from 2 species